CAAUAGCGUAUAUUAAAGUUGUUGCGGUUAAAAAGCUCGUAGUUGGAUUUCUGCUGAGGACGAUCGGUCCGCCCUCUGGGUGAGUAUCUGGCUCGGCCUUGGCAUCUUCUUGGAGAACGUUACUGCACUUGACAGUGUGGUGCGGUAUCCAGGACUUUUACUUUGAGGAAAUUAGAGUGUUUCAAGCAGGCGCACGCCUUGAAUACAUUAGCAUGGAAUAAUAAGAUAGGACCUUGGUUCUAUUUUGUUGGUUUCUAGAGCUGAGGUAAUGAUUAAUAGGGAUAGUUGGGGGCAUUCGUAUUUAACUGUCAGAGGUGAAAUUCUUGGAUUUGUUAAAGGCGGACUACUGCGAAAGCAUUUGCCAAGGAUGUUUUCAUUGA
rnacentral:rRNA from 1 species